rnacentral:lncRNA from 1 species
ACUCAUUCUUUGCUCUCCUGCUACCACGUGAAGAAGGAUGUAUUUGCUUCCCCUUCUGCCAUGUUUGUAAGUUUCCUGAGGCCUCCCCAGCCCUUCAGAACUAUGGGGUAACACAUAGAAAAGGCACGGAGAAGUUAAGUGAUUUGCCUGUGGUCACAAAGCCUGUUAGCAGCAAACCCAGAACAAGAACCUAAGAUUUAUGACCGCCAGUUCCAGCUGUUUUUCUUCGUCAUGUAUCCUCAGCAAUCAACAUAAUCAAAAUCUGUUUGGAGACUACUGAUUUGUAUAAAGGAAGAUAACACCGAACAACCAAACAGGAAGUAAUCCAGCGAAUCUGGAACAGCGGUGGAAUUUAGAAGCAAGGCCAGAUGAGGACCCUAAGACCUAGAGAAACUAAGUCAUUUGCUCAAGAAGACAAAGGUAAUCAUCAGAAAUCAACAUGAGAUUUCAGCUCUCCUGAUCCUUAGUACAACAUGUGAAAGAAGAUAUGUUGUCUUUACUCACAGUGGAGGCAUUUUUCUAGCUGUGUUUGAUUUGGCUUCCCUAUAGAUUCAGGACCCAUAACUCUUGUUCUCACUCAUCUGCUAUGCUGCUGAUAAGGACUUUCAGGUCAACAGCUGUAACUGCUAAAUGAAGUUAAUACUCUGGAAAAAAAAAAAAAAAAAAAACCAGAAGGAACAGAGACCAAAAGAUUGAAAGCCAUUUGGAAAUUUCUUGAGUGGUGUCUGGCAGGUCUUUUAUGAAGAUUAUCAUAAACCAGGCUGAUUCAUUGAUGGUGUAACAGAUAACAGAAUGAAAGGAAAUGGUUUGGUUUCUAUAAAGGAAAAAGAAUGGUUUGUAUAAGGAAACCAUUAGUUUCCUGAGAUUGCUAUACCAAAUUAUCAAAACUUGGUGUCUUAAAACAAUAGAAAUUUUUUCUCCCACAGUUCUGGAGGCCAGAAACUCAAAAUCAGUAUUUGGCGGCUGAAAUCAAGGUGUUGGCAGCACCCUCUGGAGGCUCUCGGACAGAAUCUGUCCCUUGUGUCUAACAGAUUCUGCUGGCUGCUGGCAUUCCUUGACUUGUGGUCGUAUCAUUCCCAUCUCCUCCUCCAUAGUCAUAACGCUUUCUCCUCUUCUCUGGCAUUUGCAUCCCUUUUAUAAGACACGUAUGACUGCAUUUAGGGCUCACCAGGAUAAUGCAGGAUAAUCUUCCUAUUUCAGGAUCCUUUGCCACAUCUUCAAAGUCCUUUUUGGCCAAUAAAGUAAUAUUCACAGGCUCCGAAAUGAUGACCCAAAAUCUCUUUUUGCUUUUGCUUCACUCAUUUUGCAUUUAAUUACUAGGCUCUGCUUCUUCAGACACUUUUAUUACAGUUUAGUUUUUGCUACAUCCCUCAAAAAUGUCUUAUUAUUUUCACGGCCUGUCAUUUAGUUAUGUUUUCUUCUAAGUGUUUGGCUGUCUUGGUCAGUGCUCUAAAGGAAUUAAAAUCACUUGGUCAGGGCUCUGAAGUAAUUGGUCAGUGCUCUGAAGUAAUUAAAAUCACUGUGAAGCUGAAUGAAAAAUCAGAAGAAGAAUCAAGAGACCUAUGUUUUGCUUGUUAGGAGAACUGUGUAUCCUUUAUGUCUAUUUUUGGAGUUGGUGGUAAUUUCUGGUCAAGGAAUCAAAUGUUCUUAUUCCUAACCAUAUAGUCAGAUAAGAUGGCUAAGGUGCUUUCAUAAUCACCAUUGAUUCACUGUCAGAUGGGCCCGUGCUCUGUGACAACUUUUCAAUAUUAUAGACUUUACCAAAUAAAAAGGUAUCUCCUCAUUCUGUGCACAGAAAAAGAAAAUGAUGGAUGAGUAUAUUAGCCAGAACCCUGUCGCAGAAAAAUAAGCAUGAGUGUGCCCUUUCAUGCCUCCUGAGAACUCCUGUGCUAGACAGAGCCUGUUCAAGAUGUCUUUUCUGACUUUCUGAUUCCAGUUGACAUCUAGGCAUAUAAGGCAACUUUGUGAUGGGGCCAGAGAGCACCACACAUUGUUGUGUAUGAAAUACUCUAUUCAGCAAACAAGCCGUGCAGCAACAAGACCUAGUGUGGUCAAGGAUGGUGGACUAAAAACCACUAUGAAAGCAGAGAUGUAGCCACCUCUGAGACUGGUUUUCUAAGCAGGAUGACUUGGUUCCAUCCCUACAGGCAUCGUCUGGUCCAGUUCAGCACAGAGCUAGCUGCAAGUGACAACCUAAGAGAAAAGUCAGCGAGAACAAAGAUCCAUCUCUUCGUUGACUGCCUUAAUCCCUAGAGCUGUGUUCUUCAAUUUGUUACUAUUUGCUACAAUUUUUCUGCCUAACAAGCAAGUUCUAUCCUGCCUAGGAGAGAAACUUUUAGUAAAUUCAUCUUCAUUCACUACUAUUCAGCUCAUGCUGUAAAAACUUAGAUAAUGCUGUCUGAAAUACUUAACUCCUGGUCAAAUGCAGCUGCUAUUUCAUUCAGUAUAAUCAAAGAAUAGCCAAGGACUUUAGUUAAUAUUUCUUCAGAUGAUAGAGAAUAAACAAAUUGUUUUGGAUAUAUCUACCAUGCCCUCCAAACAUGAUUGUUGAUAUCUUUUCUAUAUAAAUUACUUUCCUACAUAAAUGGUACUUAGCUUUUCCUUGAAAGAUAUGCUCUUCUCUCCAGCUCAAAGAUAACCCUCUUUCCCUCAAAUUAUAAGUAAUUUAUAUUUAAUAAUCUUUCAUACGAAUUUUUAAAAUUACAAAUGGUAAGGUACCACUAUUUUUUAUUUUGUAACAGCACAAACCAUCAAAUCAGAAAAAAAGAAAGGUUGAGUAUGAUCUCUGAAAAAUGAAUUCUAGUAGCAUGUAUAGCAAAAAUCAUCUUAGAAUGAAUAGAAGCCCUGAAUAACUCAAUGACCACCAGGCUUGUCUGCAUCCACGUUCUACUUGGUUAACUGUUAAAUAAUAUCUAACUUGUUGCAUUGUAAAAACAACAUGUGUCUGUAAACUGAAAAAUAGAUGUUAUUAUCCACCUGGUUUAGUCAUAAUGGAGAAAUGUCCUUCAGUUGCAUGAUGCUCUUCCUAUGAAUGAGGAAACCAGAUCAACAUUUCCAUUCAAGUUCUAGCUUGCCUAUAACAUUUCUUAGCUCCUUUUGCAAACCAAAAGUGGCAGCAGUUGUAACUGAAUUAGUCUAACUGCUCAGACACAUGCAUUUCUGUUUGGUUGCUCUGGUCUCUUCUUGAAGGCCAAGUGCUGUGAUCAUUUAUCAUCAUCAGAAUUGGCUGCCAUAACUCAGUGUUCCCGGGACCUGCAGUGGGCAGAGCACCAGCACAACCCGUAGAAAGCAGCUCCAAGAUCAGCACCCUCUCAUAAACCUACCGAGCCAGGAGCAUCUUCCAGGCCCUCCACUCUCAGGAGUUUCAAGGAGAAAACAAAAUGCUGAGGACUGGGAAUGAGAAGCUUCAACCUUGCACAAUCUCUACAUUUUGCUUUACUCCCAAGAGGGACGAAUGAAGAAUGUUGUUAUUGAUGCUAUGACCACUUCUCUCCCAUAUUGUGCCCAGUAAACAUGGUCUUACUCAUUAUUGAAAUACUAGCAUUCUUCUAUAAUGGUUCGUACACAGCUGCUGCCCAGAGCACUGAAUAACACAUACUACCAGGUGUCAAACCCAGAUUUCCCCAGUCUCUCCUUAAUUUCCAGCAAUAAAAAGAUUAGCCUGGCACAGCAGGUCUUCAGACCCUUUCUGAUUUUGAAUAGUGAUUUGAACACCUCUCCUAGCUGUGUCCCCUUUGGGUUUAAGAAUAAGAUAGAAGAUAUAUUGCUUUCCAUUUUAAAAUGUUUAACUUCUAUUCAAGAAUAAAUAUUGAUGAAGGGCAUCUAGGUACUAGUGAUUUUUCCUGAUGUCCAUUUUGUGAACUUCACAGAAGACUUUGAUUUCACCUUAAACCAAAGAAAACGUUCACAGAUAUCUUAUAAAUCUACUAUUUUUCAUGAUUAUAAUAACCUGUCAUCAUGACAAGCCAUGUUCAUUAACAAAAGAAAUCAUAGGGGCAGCUUCUAUUGGGCACUUAACUCCUUCAUCCAUGAAAUUAUACUUUAUGUGAAUUUAUUUUUGGAAAGUUCAGGUAGUUUAAAUUUUAAAUAUAUAGACUAGAAAGAAAUUGGGACCUUAAAAACUAUUUUACAGGAAAAAUGUUUCUGCCUGUCCUCAUAUUUCCUUCUUUUUUUUUUUUAACAGUGUUAGAUUUCUGCAGAACUAAUACCCUUUAAAUACUCUUGUCACACUUCAGAGGACACUAUGCAAAUUCUCAGAGGCCACACAAUUUCCAGGUAUAUUGUGAGGCCUCUGAUAAGAUUUGUAUACUGUUGACACCUACUUAAUAUAUGGAUAAAUAAAUCUCCA